rnacentral:rRNA from 1 species
GGACCUUACCAAGGCUUGACAUAUACGAGAACGCUGCAGAAAUGUAGAACUCUUUGGACACUCGUAAACAGGUGGUGCAUGGUUGUCGUCAGCUCGUGUCGUGAGAUGUUGGGUUAAGUCCCGCAACGAGCGCAACCCUCGUUCUAUGUUGCCAGCACGUAAUGGUGGGAACUCAUGGGAUACUGCCGGGGUCAACUCGGAGGAAGGUGGGGAUGACGUCAAAUCAUCAUGCCCCUUAUGUCUUGGGCUUCACGCAUGCUACAAUGGCCGGUACAAAGGGCUGCAAUACCGUAAGGUGGAGCGAAUCCCAAAAAGCCGGUCCCAGUUCGGAUUGAGGUCUG